CUUUUGCCUGGUUCAAGUAAUCCAGGAUAGGUUGGUUCUCUGUAGUACGGCCUAUUCUUGAUUACUUGUGUCGGGAGGAAG
rfam:Astyanax mexicanus chromosome 15, whole genome shotgun sequence.